GUUGCCAUCAGGUAAUGCUGGGACGUCUAAAGGAACUGCCUACGCAAGUAGUGAGGAAGGCGGGGAGUGACGUCAAAUCAGCACGGCCCUUACGUCCAGGGCUACACACGUGCUACAAUGGCCGAUACAGAGGGCAGCUACCUGGUGACAGGAUGCAAAUCUCCAAAGUCGGUCUCAGUUCGGAUCGGAGUCUGCAACCCGACUCCGUGAAGUUGGAUUCGCUAGUAAUCGCGCAUCAGCAUGGCGCGGUGAAUACGUUCCCGGGCCUU
rnacentral:rRNA from 1 species